rnacentral:rRNA from 1 species
AUACAGAGGGUGCAAGCGUUAAUCGGAUUUACUGGGCGUAAAGCGCGCGUAGGCGGCUAAUUAAGUCAAAUGUGAAAUCCCCGAGCUUAACUUGGGAAUUGCAUUCGAUACUGGUUAGCUAGAGUGUGGGAGAGGAUGGUAGAAUUCCAGGUGUAGCGGUGAAAUGCGUAGAGAUCUGGAGGAAUACCGAUGGCGAAGGCAGCCAUCUGGCCUAACACUGACGCUGAGGUGCGAAAGCAUGGGGAGCAAACAGGAUUAGAUACCCGAGUAGUCC